GACGAACGCUGGCGGCGUGCUUAACACAUGCAAGUCGAACGAAGUGGCGAACGGGUGAGUAAUUCGUGGGUAACCUGCCCUCCUUUUUGGGCUAAGCCUUGGCAACGGGGUCUAAUACCGAAUAAAGGGGGAUGGGCUCGCGGCGUAUCAGCUUGUUGUUGGGGUGAUGGCCUACCAAGGCGGUGAGUGGUAGCCGGCAUGAGCGGGUUACCGGACACAUUGUGACUGAGAUACGGCCCAUACUCCGACGGGAGGCAGCAGUGGGGGAUAUUGCAAAAUGGGCGAAAGCCUGAUGCAGCGACGCCGCGUGAGGGAUGAAGGCCUUCGGGUUGUAAAGUACUUUCAGCGGGGAGACGUUACCCGCAGAAGAAUCACCGGCUAACUCCGUGCGAGCAGCCGCGGUAAUAC
rnacentral:rRNA from 1 species